UACGAAGGGGGCUAGCGUUGCUCGGAAUCACUGGGCGUAAAGCGCACGUAGGCGGGUCCUUAAGUCAGGGGUGAAAUCCCGGAGCUCAACUCCGGAACUGCCUUUGAUACUGGGGAUCUUGAGUCCGGAAGAGGUGAGUGGAACUCCGAGUGUAGAGGUGAAAUUCGUAGAUAUCGGAAGAACACCAGUGGCGAAGGCGGCUCACCGGUCCGGUACUGACGCUGAGGUGCGAAAGCGUGGGGAGCAAACAGG
rnacentral:rRNA from 1 species